CAAUUCUGUUCUCCUUAUCUGGCAAACACCCGGAGGGAACAGAAGUUCAUAUGAAUUAGAAGUUUUAGGCAAUUCAUCAUCCAUUGUGAGCCUUGAUUCUCUUGAUACAUCUUACCUUGUGGACCAUUUAAUACCUGGGAACUUUUACACAUUCAAUAUCUAUGCCAAAGCUGGAAACGGUUUGACUGGGGGCAUCGCAGAAAACUAUGCAUUCAC